ACGCUGGCGGCAUGCUUUACACAUGCAAGUCGGACGGCAGCACAGAGAAGCUUGCUUCUUGGGUGGCGAGUGGCGAACGGGUGAGUAACAUAUCGGAACGUACCGAGUAAUGGGGGAUAACUAAUCGAAAGAUUAGCUAAUACCGCACAUUCUCUGAGGAGGAAAGCAGGGGACCUUCGGGCCUUGCGUUAUUCGAGCGGCCGAUAUCUGAUUAGCUAGUUGGUGGGGUAAAGGCCUACCAAGGCGACGAUCAGUAGCGGGUCUGAGAGGAUGAUCCGCCACACUGGGACUGAGACACGGCCCAGACUCCUACGGGAGGCAGCAGUGGGGAAUUUUGGACAAUGGGCGCAAGCCUGAUCCAGCCAUGCCGCGUGUCUGAAGAAGGCCUUCGGGUUGUAAAGGACUUUUGUCAGGGAAGAAAAGGCUGUUGCUAAUACCGACAGUUGAUGACGGUACCUGAAGAAUAAGCACCGGCUAACUACGUGCCAGCAGCCGCGGUAAUACGUAGGGUGCGAGCGUUAAUCGGAAUUACUGGGCGUAAAGCGAGCGCAGACGGUUACUUAAGCAGGAUGUGAAAUCCCCGGGCUCAACCUGGGAACUGCGUUCUGAACUGGGUGACUAGAGUGUGUCAGAGGGAGGUAGAAUUCCACGUGUAGCAGUGAAAUGCGUAGAGAUGUGGAGGAAUACCGAUGGCGAAGGCAGCCUCCUGGGAUAACACUGACGUUCAUGCUCGAAAGCGUGGGUAGCAAACAGGAUUAGAUACCCUGGUAGUCCACGCCCUAAACGAUGUCAAUUAGCUGUUGGGCAACUUGAUUGCUUAGUAGCGUAGCUAACGCGUGAAAUUGACCGCCUGGGGAGUACGGUCGCAAGAUUAAAACUCAAAGGAAUUGACGGGGACCCGCACAAGC
rnacentral:rRNA from 1 species